rnacentral:rRNA from 1 species
GACGAACGCGGCGGCGUGCCUAAUACAUGCAAGUAGAACGCUGAAGGAGGAGCUUGCUUCUCUGGAUGAGUUGCGAACGGGUGAGUAACGCGUAGGUAACCUGCCUGGUAGCGGGGGAUAACUAUUGGAAACGAUAGCUAAUACCGCAUAAUAGCAGUUGUUGCAUGAUAACUGUUUGAAAGGUGCAAUUGCACCACUACCAGAUGGACCUGCGUUGUAUUAGCUAGUUGGUGGGGUAACGGCUCACCAAGGCGACGAUACAUAGCCGACCUGAGAGGGUGAUCGGCCACACUGGGACUGAGACACGGCCCAGACUCCUACGGGAGGCAGCAGUAGGGAAUCUUCGGCAAUGGACGGAAGUCUGACCGAGCAACGCCGCGUGAGUGAAGAAGGUUUUCGGAUCGUAAAGCUCUGUUGUAAGAGAAGAACGAGUGUGAGAAGUGGAAA